AUGACCGGCUAUGAAAAGCCAACUGACAUUUACUCCUGAGGUUGCAACAGGACAACUGCACAAGGGUUCCACAUACUCUGGCCACAAAGACUGCCAGAUGGCCCUAAACCGGGAAGAAUACACCCAGGUCAAACUGGGACGAAGCUCUGAGGUCAUGCUGGAUCUUCAUAAGCUAAAUGUUCUCAUUCAGCAGAUUCUUAAGCUCCUCCCUGCAGGGUUACUAUAUCUUUAGUAACAUACAGGUAGGGCAAUUGCCAUUUUGCUAUGUAGAAAUUUGUCUGUCAUUAGCCUACAGUAAUCUACCUCUUAUGCAACUACCCCGUUUUUGUUACAGGAAAUGCUAAUGGCAAUGGUGGCUUGGUUUGUUUCCUGUCACAGAAUAACGCAUUUUGAUUUCUUUGCAUUGGUUUUGACUGUCAAUAUAAACAAAUGUUUGAAAUACAAAUACAUGCAUUUCUUUAUGUAAAAUGGAUAUUUUAAUAUAUUGCACACUGAAGCAGGGAUUGCGUCAUUUCCAGCUACAUGCAAGAAAGUGGCACAUUUAAUUUUCACAUUUGUCUGAUACCACUGGCAUUUAUUUAAAGGUUGAAUUUCUGGA